AUUGACCGCUGGCGGCAUGCCUUACACAUGCAAGUCGAACGGCAGCGGGGGAGAAGCUUGCUUUUCCUGCCGGCGAGUGGCGAACGGGUGAGUAUUACAUCGGAACGUGCCCUGCAGUGGGGGAUGACUAGUCGAAAGAUAAGCUAAUACCGCAUACGCCCUGAGGGUGAAAGUGGGGGACCGCAAGGCCUCCUGCUGUAGGAGCGGCCGAUGUCUGAUUAGCUAGUUGGUGGGGUAAAGGCCUACCAAGGCGACGAUCAGUAGCUGGUCUGAGAGAACGAUCAGCCACACUGGGACUGAGACACGGCCCAGACUCCUACGGGAGGCAGCAUUGGGGAAUUUUGGACAAUGGGCGAAAGCCUGAUCCAGCAAUGCCGCGUGUGUGAAGAAGGCCUUCGGGUUGUAAAGCACUUUUGUCCGGAAAGAGAUGGCUCUGGUUAAUACCUGGGGUCGAUGACGGUACCGGAAGAAUAAGGACCGGCUAACUACGUGCCAGCCGCCGCAGUAA
rnacentral:rRNA from 1 species